rnacentral:lncRNA from 1 species
GUACAAAAUAUUUAAAAUUUAUUGACUAUAAUAUAAAAAGACCAGGGAAACAGAAGAAACCGAGUAAAAAUUGGCUCCUAGGAAGAAUAUGAAAGAGCCCUACAGUUCAAAGAAAAGUGUUGUAGGCCUGAGGUUUAGCUUAGUGGCACUGUGCCUGCAGGGUCCUGAGUUCAAUCCCCCAUGCCAAAAAAAAAAAAAAAAAAAAAAAAAAAAAAAAGAAAAAAAAAGAAAAAAAGGAAAAACUGUUAUAAAAUAGCAUAUGAAUAAUUGUUGACUUUUUUCAUUAUUCAGAAAAAUUAAACUAAUGAAGCAUUAUUUUAAUUGCUCUCUGAAAUAAAUGUCUCCCCAUAUCUGACUGUCAACAGAAACCUUUGGGGCCCCUGGUAAUUGUGAAUAAGCUCCAGCCCCAAGUAAAUCCAGUGUGUUAUGAUCUGAUGAGAUGAUAAAAGUUCAGAAGAAAAAAAGAUCAUUAGCAACAAUUCCCCUUUUGAGACGUGCUUACAGGGUGUUGUAGGAAAAAUUUAAUGUUCUAGAGAAAAAGUUGACACUCUGAAAUGAUAGGAGAUGCUGUAAUAGUUGGGGCAUCUCUGAAAACCAUGAGCCUUAGUGUUCUCAUAAGACAGUUUUUUAGCAGCCAAAAUAACGCUAAAGCUUUGAGAGUGCUUACACAGGUAUUAGUGGGAAUAUAAUUAGUGAAUAGUGGCAGGAUAUAUAAAAAGGGUAAGUGAAAUGAACUUAAUGCUACUGUAUUGUAAACUUAAAGAAGGCUGAAAUGGUAAAUUUUAUGUUACAUGUAUUUUACCACAGUAAUUUUUUUUUUAAAAAGGGCAAGUGAAACUCCUCUGAUUUUUUUUUUUUUUUGUUGUUGUUUUUUGAGACAGGGUCUUACUAUGUUGAGACUGACCCGGAACUCACUAUGUAGCCCAGGCUGGUCUCGAACUCACAGCGAUCCUCUUGCCUCAGCCUCCCGAGUGCUGGGAUUACAGGCAUACGCCACCAUGCCGAGCCUUUCCUUUCUUCUAAAAUCUGUAGAUGCUUCUGGGAUACUUAAUGUACUGGAGCGGUGCUGGCAAACCUUUUAGAGACUGAGCGCCCAAACUGCAACCCAAAACCUACUUAUCAUCGCAAAGUGCCAACACUGCAGUCACACCUGAAUACUGAGGUUUUAGUUUAGAACAAAACAACUCGUACAUUCACUUCGCUUGCAUGCCGCUAGGGAGGGCUCUGCGUGAUUGCUGUGGCAUGCGUGCCGUGGGUUUGCCAGCAGGGUAUGGGAGUUAGAGGGCAAGCUGGCGUGUGCAGGUGGACGGCGCAGUGGAAGCGGGAGGACGAGUGCGAACUCUGAAGUCAGGCAGAGCUCCUCUGAGACCAUUUGUUAGCUCCUGCUGCUUCAUAAAGUUCUUCUAAAAGAAGACUCAGCUUUUAGGUGAAUCUGUCUCCCUGCUUCCUAGUAUCUAUCUUUUAUUUGGUGCUUUAUUUAUCCUUUGGAUUUCUCAUGUAAGAGAAACCACGGAAUAUUUAAGCUUGAGUGUCUGAUUUAUUUCACUUAAUAUUAGGGUCUCAAAGUGCAUCCAUUUUCCUACAAAUGACUCAAAUUUAUCCUUCUUUAUAGCAGAGUAGUACUUCAUUAUGUAUAAAUACCACUUUUUUAUACAUUCAUCUGUUGGUGGGCAUAUAGGCAUGUAUAUGUUUUAGCUACUAUGAAGUGUGCUGCUAUAAAUAUGGGUACAGUGCAGUGUUUUUUUUUUUUUUUUUUUUUUUUUGUACCAGGGAUUGAACUUGGAUCCUUGCACUUGCAAGGUAGGCCACCGAACCGCUGAGCUAAAUCCCCGGCCCCUUAGUGCAGUGGUUUUUAGUAAGAAAUGGCUCUGACCCCAGGGACUAGUUGACAUUGUCUGGAGACUGUCACAGUUGCCACUGGUUGUCACAAUUGCAGAGUGGUCCUAUUGGCAUCUGGCUGGUAAGAGGCUCUGGGCUCUGCUAAACAUCCUAUGAUACACCCCAGCCUAACACCCAGCAAAAGCUUAUCCAGCCAGUGUCAAUGGUACCACAACUGCCUAAUGAAGGAAAU